rnacentral:rRNA from 1 species
GACGAACGCUGGCGGCGUGCCUAAUACAUGCAAGUAGAACGCUGAAGGAGGAGCUUGCUUCUCUGGAUGAGUUGCGAACGGGUGAGUAACGCGUAGGUAACCUGCCUGGUAGCGGGGGAUAACUAUUGGAAACGAUAGCUAAUACCGCAUAAUAGUAGAUGUUGCAUGACAUUUACUUAAAAGGUGCAAUUGCAUCACUACCAGAUGGACCUGCGUUGUAUUAGCUAGUUGGUGGGGUAACGGCUCACCAAGGCGACGAUACAUAGCCGACCUGAGAGGGGGAUCGGCCACACUGGGACUGAGACACGGCCCAGACUCCUACGGGAGGCAGCAGUAGGGAAUCUUCGGCAAUGGACGAAAGUCUGACCGAGCAACGCCGCGUGAGUGAAGGAGGGUUUCGGAUCGGAAAGCUCUGUUGUAAGAGAAGAAAGAGUGUGAGAGUGGAAAGUUCACACUGUGACGGUAUCUUACCAGAAAGGGACGGCUAACUACGUG